rnacentral:rRNA from 1 species
UACAGAGGUCUCAAGCGUUGUUCGGAUUCAUUGGGCGUAAAGGGUGCGUAGGUGGCGCGGUAAGUCGGGUGUGAAAUCUCGGAGCUUAACUCCGAAAUUGCAUUCGAUACUGCCGUGCUCGAGGACUGGAGAGGAGACUGGAAUUCAUGGUGUAGCAGUGAAAUGCGUAGAGAUCAUGAGGAAGACCAGUGGCGAAGGCGGGUCUCUGGACAGUUCCUGACACUGAGGCACGAAGGCCAGGGGGAGCAAAACGGGG